UGACCUGAUCCAUUUCUGACCUGGGCCAGU
rnacentral:piRNA from 1 species